rnacentral:rRNA from 1 species
GAUGAACGCUGGCGGCGUGCCUAAUACAUGCAAGUCGAGCGAACGGACGAGAAGCUUGCUUCUCUGAUGUUAGCGGCGGACGGGUGAGUAACACGUGGAUAACCUACCUAUAAGACUGGGAUAACUUCGGGAAACCGGAGCUAAUACCGGAUGAUAUUUUGAACCGCAUGGUUCAAAAGUGAAAGACGGUCUUGCUGUCACUUAUAGAUGGAUCCGCGCUGCAUUAGCUAGUUGGUAAGGUAACGGCUUACCAAGGCAACGAUGCAUAGCCGACCUGAGAGGGUGAUCGGCCACACUGGAACUGAGACACGGUCCAGACUCCUACGGGAGGCAGCAGUAGGGAAUCUUCCGCAAUGGGCGAAAGCAUGACGGAGCAACGCCGCGUGAGUGAUGAAGGUCUUCGGAUCGUAAAAAUCUGUUAUUAGGGAAGAACAUAUGUGUAAGUAACUGUGCACAUCUUGACGGUACCUAAUCAGAAAGCCACGGCUAACUACGUG